AACUGACUAUAAAUUAGAGGGCCCCACCACCCCCUCUUUGGGUUUAAUUAAUUUGCUAGAAUGGCUCACAAAACUCAGAGAAACACUUUACUUACUAGAUCACCAGUUCCCUGUAAAGAGGAUGCAGCUCAGUAACAGCCAGAUAGAUGCACACAAGGGCACAAAGUUUCCCUGCCCUCUCCAGGAUCUAUGCCUUCAUGUCAACAACAGAGUGCCUACCUCUCAGAACUGUUUUCAGAAUGAAUGACAAGGGAAAUGUUUCAACUAUGCCUUUUCUUCUUUAUGGACAUCUUGAAAAAAAUAAGGAAUUGACUCAGAAAAACUUUAGAAAGGAGAUUUACAAAUCUGCAAAAAUUAAAUUGAUAACUAUACAGUGCUAAUAAAGAAUCGUAUACUGCUCA